rnacentral:rRNA from 1 species
GCGUGUCACUCCUACGGGAGGCAGCAGUGGGGAAUAUUGCACAAUGGGCGCAAGCCUGAUGCAGCCAUGCCGCGUGUAUGAAGAAGGCCUUCGGGUUGUAAAGUACUUUCAGCGGGGAGGAAGGGAGUAAAGUUAAUACCUUUGCUCAUUGACGUUACCCGCAGAAGAAGCACCGGCUAACUCCGUGCCAGCAGCCGCGGUAA